GUGGCCAUCUCAUCGGGGAUGUAGGCUACUUUCAAGGUGAAGUUCUCCAGCUGGAAGCCAUUCAGUUUGUCCAAGGCUCUGAAAGUUGACAGGGGCAGGAGGCGGGAAGAAAAGCUGAGCCAAGUACUCACCCUUUUAUUAGCCAAGGAACACCCACCUCUUCCACUCGGGAUUACAGUCUCUCAGACUUCUGAAUAAAGCCCCUACCCAGGGAGCAAACACAGCUCUCCCAACCCGAUCCCCCACUUUUCCUUUGAAGUCCACGUGGGGUGGGGGAGAAGGGGGACCCAGCAGGUUCCAAAUGGAACAUAUUUGCCAUCUACAAAGGAAAAAUACAAAGUUAUAAAAAAUCAUUCUGUUGGGACCGGCGCUAUGGCAUUGCGGGUUAAAGCUGCCACCUGCAACACCCACAUGCCAUAUGGGUGCCAGUUUGUACCCUGGCUUCUCCAUUUCCAAUCCAGCUCCCUGCUAUUACACCCAGGGGAAGCAGCAGACUAUCGCCCAGGUGCCUCGGGCCUUGUACCCACAUGCAAGACCCUGAUGAAGCUGCUGGCUUUGAGCUGGCUCAGCCCUGGCCAUUGCAAAUGUUUGGAGAGUAAACCAGUGGAUGGAAGAUCUGUCUUUUCCUCUCUUUCCAUAACUAUGCUUUUCAAAUAAAUAAAUCUUUAAGACAAAAAAAAAAAAAAAAUCCUGUUAUCCUCUUGAAUGAGUUUAACCCCGGGGAUCAGCAGCAGCUUAGAAAUACUCCAACGGUAGGCGCCACAUGAACCCGCAGGCUUGUCCCAGCUAGUCUUUGCAAAGUGGAACAGAAAAGAGGCAUCAGAAGUAUACAGCAUGCUCGCUUUACCCUCUAGGUUAACACAAAUCAUAAAUUAGAGCAAAUGUUGGCCAGCGCCACGGCUCACUAGGCUAAUCCUCCGCCUUGUGGCGCCAGCACACUGGGUUCUAGUCCCGGUCGGGGCGCCGGAUUCUGUCCCGGUUGCCCCUCUUCCAGGCCAGCUCUCUGCUGUGGCCAGGGAGUACAGUGGAGGAUGGCCCAAGUGCUUGGGCCCUGCACCCCAUGGCAGACCAGGAGAAGUACCUGGCCCCUGCCAUCGGAUCAGCGCGGUGCGCCGGCCGCAGCGCUCUGGCUGCGGCGGCCAUUGGAGGGUGAACCAACGGCAAAAGGAAGACCUUUCUCUCUGUCUCUCUCUCUCUCUCACUGUCCACUCUGCCUGUCAAAAAAAAAAAAAAAAAAAUUUAAAAAAGAAAAAAAAAGAACAAAUGUAAAACAAUACAAAUGUUUCAAAAGAUGUUUGAAACAUUUGGGAAACCAUCAACAAGUAUCUCUAAACUGGUGGAAUUUAAUACUCAGGACAGUCCAUCACUCAGUAAAAUUUUAGUUUUUUUUCUUAAGAUUUGUUAAUUUACUUGAAAGUCAGAGUUAUACAGAGAGAAAAAGAGAGGCAAAGAGGCAAAGAGAGAGAGAGAUAAAGGUCUUCCAUUUGCUGGUUCACUUCCCAAAUGGCCGCAACAGCUGGAGCUGCACUAAUCUGAAGCCAGGAGCUUCUUCUGGGUCUCCCAUGCGAGUGCAGGGGCCCAAGUACUUGGGCCGCCUUCUACUGCUUUCCCAGGCCAUAGCAGAGAGCUGGUUUGGAAGUGGAGCACCCAGGACUCGAACCAGCCCUAUAUGUGAUGCCAGAACUGCAGGCAGCGGCUUUACCCACUAUGUCACAGUGCUGGCCCCAAAUCUUACUAUCUUAUGAGCCAGUCCCUGACACAGUGGCCCAGGGCCUUGUGGGGUUUAUGGUAUGAUCUGAAAGCAGGCAGGCAGGGAGGGCAAUGAACCACACAAAGGGGAGAGAAUCUGUCUUCUAAUCCAUCAAUUCUCAUAGCACCAGUCUUCAGGGAGAGCUUCGCUGCCUGUCCCCAUCUCUCAACUUCACUGCAACACACAUAAGGAAAAGAAUCCCAAACAUCAUUAUCUACCUCAGUGACUGCACCAGGUGACCACACAUCCAGAACUAGGGCCAGAACAUGCCUGCUGCAGAGUUGCCUCUCAGGGAUCGCCCCUCCCCUAGCACUACCGAUUCACUGUGCCUGUCUAAAAUCACACCUAAGUACACCUGCUCUGUAUUCUCUCAUGGCUGGCACCUUAGUUCUUCUAAGACUCACCCAAAUGGUGUUUGACUUCAACUACACACAUGUCUUACAAGAGGGCGGCAGCUGCUGCGCGGGCUGCAGGGGAGAAAUCUCCCUUGCCUCACCAUUUCCGCUCGCCACCAGAGCCAGAGCCCUCUGAUGAGUCUGUGGUACUGCCCAAUCGCUCACAGACCUGCUGACGCUGGGGGGGUCAACCAGCUCAGUGGCAAGUACAUCCAGCAGACCCAGCCCCCACCCUGGAGUGCAUCAACAGCCCGUAUCCUCUCACCGAUCACAUUUUGGGCACAAAAGAGCCUCUUUCUGAGGCCAGUUAUGUUGCAGCCACAUUUCAGUGCAUGAGGGAGGAAUUUGACAAAAACUGGAAUGAGGAGCACUGCAGAAGGAGCCCUGAGUGUGCACAAGCACCAGCUACCCUGUGUGUUACUGCUACAGCUGGGAACAACUUUCUUCACAUUACCUGGUAGGGAACUGAAUCCAGGGGAAGAUAAAGUUGAAGGACUCAACACUUAACAAGGAGCUGGCACUGUGGCCCCAGCCUGCAGCGUCAGCACCCCAUAUGGGCACCGGUGUGAGUCCCAGCUGUUCCACUUCCAAUCCAGCUCUCUGCUAUGGCCUGGGAAAGCAGCAGAGGAUGGUCCAAGUCCUGUGCCCUUGCACUCACGUGGGAGACCAAGAAGCUCCUGGCUCCUGAUUGGCUCAGCUCCAGACGUUGCAGCCAUUUGGGCAGAUGAACCUGUGGAUGGAAGACCUGUCUCUCUCUACCUCUCUUUGUAACUCUGCCUUCAAAUAAAUAAAUCUUAAAAAAAAAAAAUCACCUAAUGACAAAGUCCUGCAAUACUGGAUUGUGGAUGAAUAUGCUGGUCAUGGUGCAGUAGAGACCAGAUUCUCGACACCCAUCUAUUCCUGCACCUGUUACAAAGCCCAAGGGAUAGGAGAAAUGGUUUCUGGUUCAACUUCAAGAGAAAGCCUUGCUGGGGCUGGGGCUGUGACAUAGCCGGCAUCCCAUAUGGGUGCUGUUUCAAGUUCUGGUUGCUCCACUUCUGAUCCAGCUCUCUGCUAUGGCCUGGUAAAGCAGAGAUGGCCCACGUCUCUGUGCCUCUGCACUCACAUGGGAAAUCUGCAGGAGGCUCCUGGCUUCAGAGUGGCUCAGCUCCAGCUGUUGCAACCAUUUGGGGAGUGAACCAGUGGAUGGAAGACCUCUCUGUCUCUGUAUAACUCUGCCUUUCAAAUAAAUAAAUACAUCUUUAAAAAAAAAAAGAGAGAGAGAAAGCCUUGUUUGCAAUCUCUAAAAAUUACCAGUUGGGAACUGCACCAUGGUUUGAACUGAAUGACAGUGCACCAGGGCAGGGACCAGUCUCCCUCAGCUGGUGCGCAGGUUAGAGAAGCUGGCUCUCUACAGCAGGUGAGCACAGCCUCACAGGGUGCAGAAGAAUAAAUGCGGUAGAAGAGUUCUGUGGCUUUCUCUUUGCCAUGCCCUAAGCUGCUGCUGAACUUCUUAUUGUUUCAAUAGGAAAGUCACUGUGAAGGUCCUGAUAGAGGUGUAAACAAAUAUGAUAAUGUGUAUUUACUUUUGGUUCUAUUUUUUUGAACAAUAUUAAUGCAAAUGAACUUAUUUCUAUUUGUACUUUUUAAAUUUCUCAAUAAACUUAAAAAUAAAAAAAAAGAAAUGGGCAACUCAGGGCAGGUACUUGGUUAAGAUGCCACCCAACAUGUCUGUAUCCCUUAUCAGAGAGCCUGCUGAGUCCUGGCUCUUAAUCAGACUUCAGCUUCCUGCUAACGCACACCCUGAGGGAAAGCAGAUGAUGGCUCAAACACAUGGCUCCCUGCCACCCAUGUAGGAUACCCAGAUGGAGUUUCAAGCUCCUGGCUUUGGCCUGGCCCAGCCCUGGCUGUUGCAGGCAUUUGAGUGAACCAGCAGAUGGACACUCGCUCAUUCUCGUUCGCGCUCUCUCUUCCUCUGUUCAAGUUUUAAAAAUUAAAAUUUCAAUUUAAAAAAAGUAGACGAUAAAUUGGUAGAGAAGAUAGGCAUACAUAUACACCCUCCUAAGAAUACACACCAUCAUAACUCCCCAGUGCACAGUACCCAUCCACCCCCCAAAAAAACAAGCCCUUGCUACUCCGGUUCUCUCCUCAGACUCUGUUCCAAGAGACCCAAGUUCAGCCCAGGCAGGAAAACUAGAAUAGACAUAAACUGGUUUCUCUCUAGUUACGCACUGUGGGCAUUUCCAGCUACACGCUACCUCCCUUAUUUGGAGAUCUAUUUUCAUUCUUGACUUAGAUGGGGGAGGAGAAGUCCCAGCAUCAAAAAGAGACCAAGAGCACAGAAUUGCAAGGCAGGUGUAUGCCAGCAGCCAAGGCCGCUCACUGCCGUUCUCAAGACUCCAAAUUCUGCCCUCUUUUCUCACUGCAACCCCCUUCUCCACAGCCUGCAGGCCCCAGCACAGAAGUCAACUCUUCUUCCAGCAAAAGAUGACAGUCGGGGCCAGCACUGUGGCACAGCAGGUAAGGCUGCCCUCUGCAAUGCCAGCAUCCCAUAUGGGCACCAGUUCAAGUCCCGGAUGCUCCACUUCUGAUUCAGCUCUCUACUAAUGCACCUGGGAAAGCAAUGGAAGACGGCCCAAGUGCUUGGGCCCCUGCACCCACGUGGGUGACCUGGAAGAAGCUCCUGGCUCCUGGCUUUGGACUGUCCCAGUUUUGGCUGUUGAGGCCGCUAGGAGAGGGAGCCAGCGAGCAGAUGGAAGAUCUCUGUUCCUGCUCCCCUGCCCAUAACUAUUUCAAAUAACUAAAUUAAAAAAAAAAAAAAAAAAGGAUGCUAGUCAGGCAGAAAUACAAAUCUCACAAGAUGUUGCUGUCAUCAGCACCAAUCCUCCCCAGCACUUUCCAGAACUGCUGCUACCACAUUAGCUCUGCUCACGACCUGUCCUUCCCGUGUUGACAAACACACAGACACGUGUCCAGUUCCCGCCCGAAGCGGAACCGGGGGGCGUGGCGCACACUGCUACGUGGCUGCUUUCCCUGGAGUGCAGCCCAUCCUGGGAGGUUCCCAUGUGGUCUCCGUGUCCUCAGAGUGGACCCAGGCACAGACCACACUUACCUUCCUAAUGCUCCGAUGACAGAACCUCCCAGGAGGAGCCUCAAAAUAUUUGUGGAAAUGCAUAUUAUAAAAAAUAAAAACCCUGCAUGAAUUUCAAUUCCAUUUUCCCAUAUGGUUCCUUGCUUUCCACCUCUUUUUUCUUGAAAGAAUGUGGAUGAAGGGCCCCCACAUACGGAUCUUGCUGAAGGAAAACAACAGCUAAGAAAUGUUAUGGGUGUUGUUGCUGUGUGUUUACUAUAGAAAACUGAUGUAGAAAUUUCAAUUACUCAACAUGACUUUCAAGUUUUUGAAGGUCAGAAGCAAAGAGAUCACUGAAGUUUCCUUGAAAACCCUGAGGAAACCAGAACCGAGUGAAGGAAUCCACUGCAUCUACUGGCAUAAACAGGCUCCCUUAGAACCUUUCCCAUCGCAGCACUGCUAGCCUCAGAAGCAAGCCAACGUUCAUGAAAUGAAGUCAGCAAUGUUACCAAAAACACAAGCCACUCCUCUCGCGAAGACAGACGCAAAUGCAGAAACAUCCUUCUCCAUGGAGAUGAACAAGAAGCAAACACGUAGUUACAAAAUGAUUCUAGGUAUUCUGGAACUGUCCCAAGAAAGUCACAUGUGUCCCAAGAAGCAACUCCGCUCAACUUGGCAAAAGCUCUAACUCUGACCUUCAUUGUGCCGCUUCCCUAGGACUGUUACUGGAGGGAAAAGCAGAGUCUCUCGCUCAGGAGGUUGGGUGGCGGAGCACUCCUGUACCCCCUGUACUAAGAGCUCCAAAUGCAGGAUGAGCCAGGCAGAGGGCAAACAACCCCACUGUGUGCACGGGAUGGUCUCACUGCCACCUGUGCAGAGCUCCUGACUCGGACACGACCGACAAGGCAGGGGAGCAGCUGACUGCCAGGCAACGGCUUUUCUCGCGACUGAGGGUCCUAAGUUUAUGGAUGCUAGGCCUACCGCCAAAACCUCUCACGCAGUUAUUCAGCCAUGUCAUAUGGCGGUCUGCUGAGUUCAUGCAGGAAUGAUGUUAACACGUUCAGCAAACUCACUGUACAAGACCUGAUGGACAACCAUUACCAUAAUUACGGAGCAGACACAAGGGUGUUUAUCCCACUCGUGUCACUCAGGAUCCUGUCUCCCAUCCUCACUUGACCCUUGGCUCUGAUGCUUUUAAGUCACUCAGGGGCCAGCGAUGUAGUGCAGCAGGUAAAGCUACUGCCUCCAGCUGAUGGUUCGUGUCUUGGCUGUUCCACUUCCAACCCAGCUCCCUGUUAUCAGCCUGGGAAAAGCAGUGGAAGAUGACCUGAGUGGUUGGGCUCCUACCACCCACAUGGGAGACCUGGAAGAAGCUCCUGGCUUCAGCCAGGCCCAGCCCUGGCUGUUGCAGAUUUGGGGAAUGAACCAGCAGAUGGAAGACCUCUCUUGGUCUCUAACUCUUUCAAAUAAAAAUAAAAUAAAAUUUCUUUAAAGUCACUCAGAAGAUGCCAAAUUACUUUGCUAGUUCACUUAAUUGUAUUGAUGGGUGUAUUGAAAUAGAUCACAGUCAGCCGGCACCACGGUUCACUAGGCUAAUCCUCCGCCUGCGGCACCGGCACCCCGGGUUCUAAUCCCGGUUGGGGGGCCAGAUUCUGUCCCAGUUGCUCCUCUUCCAGUCCAGCUCUCUGCUGUGGCCUGGGAGUGCAGUGGAGGAUGGCCCAAGUCCUUGGGCCCUGCACCCACAUGGGAGACCAGGAGAAGCACCUGGCUUUGGGUCAGUGCAGCACGCCAGCCACAGCGGCCAUUGUGGGGGUGAACCAACAGAAAAGGAAGACCUUUGUCUCUGUCUCUCACUGUUCACUCUGCCUGUCAAAAAAAAAAAAAAAAAAAAAAUCACAGUGGAGAAGGCAAAGUGGAUCAACCUGAAGUUGAGAGGCAGGGAGAGAAAUACAGAAGGAGACACAGAGAAGUUAAAGCUCCCCAGGGUCAACACAUCUGAAAAGCAGGAAAUAGCAGGGACAACUGGAGACCAGCACCUAGUGCAGCCUCAAGGAAGCAGGCUGGUGCCUCGAUGAGGUCAUCUUCCAGUCUGGCGAUCACCACUUCACCAGUAUAGGUGGAAGGUGAGACUUAAUGUCCCCUCUCAACUCCAGAACUGCAUGUCUAAAAUCCCCGUUUUCUUAUUCCCAGAUGUCUCUGCUGUGAUAAAUCCCAACAAAACGAGGUGACAUAAAUCCAGUGCUCUCAUUGCCAAGAACGAAGUGGACACAUGCCACUCAGCAAUAGUCAUGAAAAGCCUGGUGAAUCACUGCAGGACCUCCAGCAGAGAGACCGGUGGCCGACAAGAGCAAAAUCACCCAGUCCCCAACGGACUCCGACGGAGACUGGGAGUCAAGUCAGGUCCAGCUCCAGGAAGAGAUGGAGAAGAGCCGAGCGGGGUGUGUAAGGAACGACACCCAGGAGGCCACACGUGACCAGGCUGAAAUGGUGUGCACAGCUGCAUGUGUCCACUGGAGGCUCCUGCGUUUGAUUCCUGGCUCUGGCUCCUGACUCCAGCUUCUUGCUAAUGCAGAUCCUGGAAGGCUGAGGUGACGGCACAAGACACUGGAACUGGAUCCUUGCCACCCACGUGACUAUCGCCAAUUUUAAGAAUAAGGUUCUGCUUGCAUAUGUAAAUUUCCAUCUCUCUUUCUGGUUUUUUGUUUUUUGUUUUUGUUUUUUUUUUUGAUAGGCAGAGUGGAUAGUGAGAGAGAGAGAGAGAGAGAGAGAAAGGUCUUCCUUUGCCGUUGGUUCACCCUCCAAUGGCUGCCGCAGCCAGCACGCUGCGGCCAGCGCACCGCGCUGAUCUGAAGCCAGGAGCCAGGUGCUUCUCCUGGUCUCCCAUGGGGUGCAGGACCCAAGCACUUGGGCCAUCCUCCACUGCCUUCCUGCGCCACAGCAGAGAGCUGGCCUGGAAGAGGGGCAACCGGGACAGAAUCCGGUGCCCCGACCGGGACUAGAACCUGGUGUGCCGGUGCCGCUAGGUGGAGGAUUAACCUAUUGAGCCGUGGCGCCGGCCCUCUCUUCUGGUCUUAUCUUCCUCUCCUCAGUGGGCAUCCCAGCUGAAGUCCCAUUUCAUAGCCUGUUUUCCAGUUAGAGCUCAGCGUUGGCCAGUGUGGGCUGGCCUUCCGUCUUCCCCACACAGAGGGCCGUCUGUCCCUGCCCCGCUGCGCCUGGAGGUGCUGAGACUGCCACAGUCAGCGGACACUCAGCACCGUGCCUUGAGCGAGCCGGACGCCGUUCCGCUGGGCGUGUGACCUGAGCAGAACUGUUAAAAGCAGUAUUUGCAGGAUCCUGAUUUUCUCUCUAGUGCUUGUUCUGUUCAUUAGAUCAUUUGAAGCCUACAGAAUUAGCUUUUCCUCAGGCAGACUGUUUCGUGUUGAAAUAUACUUAUUCACAAGGCUUUACUGCUCCAUGUCUGCACACUUCUCAAUGACAAUAGUAAUCAUGAAAGAAAUCAACGAGCAACAAGACAACAUUCAACACCGUUGUCAGUUUAACACAUGAUCAACUUACCAGCUUUGGGCAAACCAGCAAUAAUGUACGUGUCAUAUGGGGUGGGGAGGCUUUAUAUAAUCUGGCCACACCACCUAGGCCCAGCGCUCCUCACAAACUGGAGAGAAUUUAGCUCCACGCGAGAUUGCUCUAAUGCUGGCAUUUGAGAUACACUGAAAAUGUAACACAACUUCAGCCAAUGCAGAUUCUUACUAGACAUUCAAACGUAAAAGGCAAGGGGACUGCACGGUCCAACUUUGCAAAGUAAGGAUUCUUUUGGCCACCCACCAGCCCUUCUCCAAUUUAGAAAUCCACAAAAACAUUAGUUACUGUACUUAGCCUAGUUAUUACACAUAGAUAGAAAGUUUCGGGCUGCUUACUGUCUAGCUUGGUCCUUACUGGAAUAGGUUACAUUUACGACUGCAGUUUCCGAGUCAGUGUUCACUAGAGGAAGAGAAAAACGAAGAGAAUCAAAGUUAGUUCACUUGCUACUUCCUUCCUUUCCCAAAUUUGAAAGCAAUUCAGAAGACAGGUACCUUGCUCACAGCUCUCCACCACUCCAUACUGGACUAGUAAACUAUCCAGCACCUAUCAGGAGGGGGAGAGAAAAGCAAAAAUUUUGAGUUUCCUGAGUUACGAACAAGGGCAGGAACAUGUUUUAACACUAAGUAAUUGUAAAGGAAAAGAAAGAAAACCAUAAAGAUCCAGGGCUCUGGGCUGCAGAAGGAAGGGGAGACGCCCGGCAGGGUGCGCGGACGGGCUGCUCUCUCCUGCCCUUCCCUGCACCCCAGACUUCAAUCUCUUUCCUCAGUCAGCCGGGAGGUAGCAGCGAUCAGAGCCACAGCCACGUGGUUCCUGGGGCUGCAGGAGGAAACAGCGCGGCUCUCAUACAGACGCCACACCAGCAUCCUUCCUCCUCAUCUGGAGACGUGCGACAAUACUCCCAGGUGAAGAAACCCAAGCUUUAUCUGUAGGAUGUUCCUUUGCAAAGAACUUCCUUGCACGGCCAAUGGGUCAACAGAGCAAGCUACUGUGGGCAGGCUGUUGAGUGGAGGGAAACCUGGAGGCCUGAAGGGAGGGGGAAUGUACGCGGUUGUGAACACGCAGCGUAAAAGGCACACGACAGGUGAGCGCGUGAGAGUCCACGGCUGGCUUGGAAGGCAUGUAACUCGAAGCUGUUUUCACCAUCUUUGCCGCAGUCACAUUACUACAGGGUGCAUGCUAGUCCAAUGGAGAGGCAAUUAAGACAGCAAUGAUGAAUUUAUCGUAACUGCAGGUGUGUGUCUCAUCAGCAUAAACCAAGCCCAGCUGUCCUUAGCUUCCAAGAACCACAACAAACUUUUCUUGAAAACUCAAAGUAACUACCUGUAAAUACACAGCGACCACUUACUCAUCAACUGACCUGCAAAAUCUGAAGGGUCGUCCCUUAAAAACAUUCUCUGGUCCAGGCCACAGCAACUUCUAAGAAACACACUAAAUUUUCAUACAGUCUCCUCCUAGACGUUAGGCAACCUCUCUAUAGCAAUCUUCCUCUUGUACAGUAUCUUUCAGGCUUCUGUCUACUGGGUCCAGUUUGAAACCCAUCGCAAGAUUUGUCUGUGGAUGAACUGUAUCUUUUAAGUGAGGUUAGUACCUACUUGUGAACAGAAUGCCCUUUCCACUGUUGAGUUUUGACUUGGUAGGCUGAGUGCCAUGUGCCAGUAGCACCAUCAAAUCAAAGUUUAUCCUAUUUGCUUCUGAGCACUUCAAUGAUACAACAUAAAUUCCACUCAUUUGUCUCACCUACCAGUAGUGUGUGUGUGUGUGUGUUUGGUCACUGCUCUACCCCAGCACCAGGAAUACACAGGCACAAGACGACAUUCCAGUAUCUCCCAAGGGAGGCCAACACUUCCAAGGACACUCUGCUGUCUGUCAAAGCACUUGCCAGUUCUACAGGGGAGUCUGGCAUAUUGUGCUGCCCAAGGACGUAUUUUAUAAAGGUCAAAAAACCAAAAGCCUCUCAAAAACACCAUCCAAAGAGAAAAUACAGGGGCCGGCGCUGUGGCUCAGUGGGUGAAAGCCCUGGCCUGAAGCGCCGGCCUCCCAUAGGGUGCCGGUUCGAGUCCUGGCUGCUCCUCUUCCCAUCCAGCUCUCUGCUAUGGCCUGGGAAAUCAGUAGAAGAUGGCCCAAGUCCUUGGGCCCCUGCACCCAUGUGGGAGACCCAGAAAAAGCUCCUGGCUUUGGAUCAGCGCAGCUCCGGCCGUUGUGUCCAUCUGGGGAGUGAACCAGCAGAUGGAAGACCUCUCUCUCUGUCUCUACCUCUCUCUGUAACUCUUUCAAAUAAAUAAAAUAAAUCUUUUUAAAAAAAACAGAGAGAGAAUACAGGGCCGGCAUUGUGGUAUAGCAGGUAAAGCCACCAUCUGCAACGCACACACCCCAUAUGGGUGCCUAUUAGUUUCCUGGCUGCUCCACUUCUGAACCCAGCUCCCUGCUAAUGGCCUGGGAAAGCAGUGGAAGAUGGCCCAAGUGUUUGGGCCCCUGCACCCACGUGAGAGACCCAGAUGAAGCUCCUGGCUACAACCUGGCCCAGCCCAACUGUUGCAGCCAUUUGGAGAGUGAACCAGAGGAUCAAAGAUCUCUUUCUGUGUCUCUUCCUCCCUUUCUCUAAUUCUUUCAAAACAAGUAAAUAUAUAAAUAAAAAAAAAUAAAGAAAAAGCACAGCAUUCAUUCCUCAAAAUGGAAAAAAAAAGCAACUUGUUUGUCUUUUAGACCAAAAUGAAUAAUCUGCAAUACUUAUAUGAAAGAAGAAAGCUAACAAAGUAUCUCAAUUCAUUCCACCUUCAGUCAUUAAGGCACCGGGAAAGGCCACCUGCCAUUCACAAUUUAGCUCUGACAUACAUAAAAACCACUUCUCAGCAACCUUGGAUGGCUGAAAGGUGGGGGUAGCGGGUGGUGGUGGAGGAGGGGUCAUCACCAACUUGUUUAAAAUAAACCUCGUUCCGAACUCCUAGAAGCAGCGUGUUCAGUCAUCAAAGGCAUCAGUUCCCACGGUUUGGCUUAUACCACCUUAAACAACAUCAUAAAACUUAAAACACCUGUGAUCUAUCAACCAGGCUGACGAAACCAACCAGGGCAAAUGAAGCUAACGCUCUCCAAGCUCCGCUGGCCCAGACUUUGGCUGCAUCUGUAGAAUGGGACUCAGCAGUUGAGAUGCUCGUGCCCCACCUGCGUGCCUGAGUUUCGGUCCUGGCUCUGGUUCUGGCCGGCUCCCAGCUUCCUGACACUGCAAGCAAAUAACUGGUCAAAUAAUUGGGUUCCUCUCUGCCGUGUGGGAGGCUCAGGUGGAGGUCCCCAGUGCACGU